rnacentral:rRNA from 1 species
UGGGGGAUAUUGCACAAUGGGAGGAAACUCUGACGCAGUGACGCCGCGUGCAGGAAGAAGGUUUUCGGAUUGUAAACUGCUUUAGACAGGGAAGAAACAAGACAGUACCUGUAGAAUAAGCUCCGGCUAACUACGUGCCAGCAGCCGCGGUAAUACGUAGGGAGCGAGCGUUAUCCGGAUUUAUUGGGUGUAAAGGGUGCGUAGACGGGGAAUUAAGUUAGCUGUGAAAUCCCUCGGCUUAACUGAGGAACUGCAACUAAAACUGAUUUUCUUGAGUGCUGGAGAGGAAAGUGGAAUUCCUAGUGUAGCGGUGAAAUGCGUAGAUAUUAGGAGGAACACCAGUGGCGAAGGCGACUUUCUGGACAGUAACUGACGUUGAGGCACGAAAGUGUGGGGAGCAAACAGGAUUAGAUACCCUGGUAGU